rnacentral:rRNA from 1 species
CCUACGGGAGACAGCAGUGGGGGAUAUUGCACAAUGGGGGGAACCCUGAUGCAGCGACGCCGCGUGGGUGAAGGAGCGUUUCGGCGCGUAAAGCCCUAUCGGCAGGGAAGAAGGAGGACGGUACCUGACUAAGAAGCCCCUGCUAACUACGUGCCAGCAGCCGCGGUCAUACGGGGGAUGCACGCGUGAUCCGGAUUUAUGGGGUUUAAAGGGUGCGUAGGCUGUGAGGUAAGUCAGCGGUGAAAUGCCCCCGCUCAACGGGGUGAAGUGCCAUUGAUACUGCCUUGCUGGAAUGCGGAUGCGGUGGGAGGAAUGUGUGGUGUAGCGGUGAAAUGCAUAGAUAUCACACAGAACACCGAUUGCGAAGGCAUCUCACGAAUCCGCAAUUGACGCUGAUGCACGAAAGCGUGGGUAUCAAACAGGAUUAGAUACCCCUGUAGUC